CGUAGGUGGCAAGCGUUGUCCGGAUUUAUUGGGUUUAAAGGGUGCGUAGGCGGUUCUCUAAGUCAGUUGUGAAAUACGGCAGCUUAACUGUCGAGGUGCAAUUGAUACUGGAGAACUUGAGUACUGAUGAGGUAGGCGGAAUGGACGGUGUAGCGGUGAAAUGCUUAGAUAUCGUCCAGAACACCGAUAGCGAAGGCAGCUUACUAAGGAGUAACUGACGCUGAGGCACGAAAGUGUGGGGAUCAAACAGGAUUAGAUACCCUGGUAGUCCACACUGUAAACGAUGAUUACUCGAUGUUGGCGAUACACAGCCAGCGUCUUAGCAAAAGCGAUAAGUAAUCCACCUGGGGAGUACGCCGGCAACGGUG
rnacentral:rRNA from 1 species